GGUAGGACCAACACAAUACUACCCGCCAGAGAACUACAAGUGAAAAGCUAGAAACUCUAAGGACUUGGCGGUGCCUUAAACCAACCUAGAGGAGCCUGUCCUAUAAUCGAUACUCCACGCUAAACCUUACCACUUCUUGCCAAUCCGCCUAUAUACCGCCGKCGUCCAGCCUAMMUCGUGAGAGCCCAACAGUAGGCAAAACAGUUAACAACUAACACGUCAGGUCAAGGUGUAGCACAUGAAGUGGAAGCGAUGGGCUACAUUUUCUGCCACAGAAAACACGAACGCCACAAUGAAACUUGUGUCCGAAGGUGGAUUUAGCAGUAAGAUAUAUAAGAAACAAUACCUUAAACCCUGCUCUGAGGCGCGC
rnacentral:rRNA from 1 species